UACGUAGGUGGCAAGCGUUGUCCGGAAUUAUUGGGCGUAAAGGGCGUGUAGGCGGAUAAUCAAGUUUGGUGUGAAAUCUUAUGGCUCAACCAUAAACGUGCAUUGAAAACUGAAUAUCUAGAGUAUCGGAGAGGAAAGUGGAAUUCCAUGUGUAGCGGUGAAAUGCGUAGAUAUAUGGAGGAACACCAGUGGCGAAGGCGACUUUCUGGACGAUAACUGACGCUGAGGCGCGAAAGCGUGGGGAGCAAAC
rnacentral:rRNA from 1 species